CGUGACCUACUUUGUGGGGUUCAUUUCAUCUCCUGGAUCUUCCUGAUAUCCCAGGCCAGGGAGCCUGUUAAGAAAGGAGUGACAUUUAAAAUAACUUACUUUUAAAGCUCCCAGGAUGGUUCCCAGGGCGCAGUGCUUUCCUGGUGUGCCUUCAGGUGCUCUGUGUACUUAUCUAUUCUAGAGAGGAUUAGGGUGGGAUACUCCAGAUGACACUGCGGAAGCCACUGCCAGCAGCCCACUGAGAGGUCUUUAUCCCUGUUAUACUAAGAAGGGUAUAGAGGUUCAGAGAGGUUCUGUAACCUUCUCAAGACACACAGGCAAGAAUCAGAUUUGGGGCCAUCUCACUGUUCAGGAGGCCUGUGUGGGUCUCGCCUUCCCUGGGCUUUCGUGCAGGCUGGAAGACACACAGUGGUCACACGGUCAACUCCUUUGACUUCCUUUAUCAUCAAACAAGCCAAACUUCCUGAACGUGGGGAUUUCUGGAAGCAUGAAAGUUUUGCCGAGACCCAGCAGACAGCCCUCUGGUUUGGUCUUCAGAUAUCUCUCGCCCUUGGCCUCAGUUUCCCCAGCUCUAGAAACGAGAGGGUUGAAUGCAGCCGCUCUGACAUCCUGGGACCUCUAAGAGCCAUGGUUCUGGACCACGCACGAGAGGGGAGAGGCGAGCGGUCUCGCUCUUGUUCUCCAGGAAGGCCUUUGGAAAUCAGUGGAGGGAGGGGGCCCUUGGAAAUCUACUGCACUGGCACCUGAGCUCCUGAAGCCUCGUGGCAGAGAGGACAGUCUCACACAGACGCAUGAGGAGAAGAACCAUUCCUUGUGAUGACACACCGAUCCACUUAAAAUUGGCCUGGACACCACCAGGCUGUGGCUUGCUGUGCCACUCGGGGCAGUGGAUAGGGCCACCCUGGUCUCGCCCUGAGCAUCUCGGCUCCUCUCCUUCUUGUGCGUGUCCAGGACCAGCCCAGCACGCUCGCUGCCCCUGUCCUGUCCCUGCCUUGCCUGCAUGGCACUUUGCACUGUGUAGCAUGUGAUCAGCACCCCGCUCAUUCGAGGGUAGGAUGUAGGAACCUGCCAACUCCAGAGCACAGGCCCCACCCUGGGAGGAAGCAGAAAAGGCGCCUGGGGAAUGAGGAAAAUCCUGUCCAUGAGGUGCCUGCAUCCGUCCAUGUAGCAGGUGCAGAACGUUCCUCUUACUCAGCCUCCAUUGCCUCGCCUGUACAAUGGGGACACGCCACCACCUGGGUCUCGGGGCGGCAGUGAUGGGGACACCAGUCCGUCACCACAGGUCAUGAUGACAAAGUUUUGGGCCGAGUGCCCGGACCAGGGAAGAACUCAGUGCCAUUGAAGUUCUCAUUAGCAAUAUCAUGCUUCAGAUCGGAAGGAAAAAGCAUCAAUUUUGAGUACCCAUGACUGCCUUUUGGACAGCACCCAGGAACCGGAGCUUGAUUUAGGCCAGAAAUGACGGUCCUUUUGAGUCGAUAAAGUUGCACUCUCGGGAGGAGUCGGCUGCCGCCUGUCACCCAGUUCACUUGCGGUGACACUCCCUUUUCUGUCCCUUCCCAGCCAGGCCGCCUUCCGCUCCCUAUGCCCUGAAGCUCUGUGAGCCUCUGACAGCUGGGAGGGAGAAGAAGGACGGUCCCCUGAGCCUGGGAGUUUUAAAUCGGGCAGGAGUUGAUGGGUCCCUCAAACAAGGCCUGUCAUCCGCAGUGACACUUAAGGUGCUGUGUGGCAGCCCCUCUGGGCCUCUUCAGCCAUCCACAGGGAGGCUGGCAACCCUGCAGGCUGCAGACGAGGUGCUGAGCUCUGGGAGGCAGGGACCCGUCUUCUUCCUCUGCGCGCCCACAGGUGGGCGCAGGGUGUGGGGAGAGGCGAGGACAAGGAGGCGGGCAGACCUGGCUUCCGGAAGCCCGUGGCUCCAUGGAAAGACCGUGUCAGCGUCCCAGUGCUGCUGAGUGCCUCCCACGGGACACCUCGUUGGAAAGGACUCCGGGAGCUGCCCGCUGCAGACGUUGAGUCUGAGGAGGGAAAGGCCCAUUGGGAUGCUGGGUGCCGCACCAUCAGACGGCGCCACCAUCAGCUUCCCUGUCCUCUCACCGGGGCAGGGUCUUCAGUUCUAGCUCAAGUCCAUGUGCUCUGUCCUCCAGUCCCAGUCGGGCCAGUUUCUUCCCCCGUGGGCCCCCAUAGAGGCUGUGCUGGGAGAACUUCCAUUUUCUCUUGGUUGGUCAGUGCCAGGGACCUGCAGCCAGGAGUGGGGCGUGCCGGGCCAGGGUCACGGGGACUGUGAGUGGGUGGUGUGCACAGGGUUGACCCCGGGUCUCCGGGCUCCCAGACCAGCCUCCACCACCCGGGUUGGCACUCACCGCCACAUGGUCUUUCCAUCCCUCCAUCGCUCAGCACCACAGCACAUUAACUGAAACAUUUUAUCUCCUGAUAGGCGGUGGAGGGAGUGUCUACAGGGCCCCUUCCAAAAAUAAUAUUUUUACUUUCCAGCAGCAAAAUACACAGUAUCCAUUCUUGUCAUUUUUGAAUCUCUGGCAACAACCCAAUGCAUUCUUGUCGAGAACAAUAUAACAAUCUGACUUCUGUUUUGGCCCCUGAGUUCUUUUGUCCCUCCCCACCAAGUGUGAAAUGUGCACUUCCUGACCAUCCGACCGCAGGUCCAGACAAUGGAGAAACAAAGACGAGCCACGCCAGCAGCAGGUGAGGCCACCGGCACAGCGAUCCCAGCCCCUUCGAAAGCCUCUGUCUGGGUCACGAGGAAGACCAAAAAUAAGUAGCUGUGGACAACGGCCUAAUUCCGAGGGGUCGGCAACAUUGUCCGGUUGGGGUUUGCAGUCAAGGACGGUUUGAUAGCAAAAUGGCCCCUAACCGGCCCCCAGGUACCUCCCUUCCCCUGAUUCAUUACAUCGCCUGACACAAAACCCUUUCAUUUGAAUCAGCUGAAGUCUGCUCUCUUCUUUGAAGACUUCCCUGACUCUUGAUUCAACAAACAUUUGCUGCAUUCUACAAUGUGCCUGCCUUUUCCAAGUAGUGGUAUCAUGUCCUGAGUAUAAGCUAAUAUUCCCUCCUUUGUGCUACUUCUUUAUUUAUGUCUCUUCAUUUUACAUAUAAGGAGACAGGUCUGGAGAGGGGAGGUGACUUAAGCCAUAAUAAUGUGACAAAUAAGAGCAUGGAAGUGCUAAGAGGCGAUACCACUGCUCAAAGUUCCAUAGGUGCCCUGGGCUGUCUGUAUACACAGCCAGCUGGUCAACCCCCAUCCCUGUGUGGUGACGGGGGGAGGGGGAUCCUAAGGCCUCAAGAGCAGGAGGACAUGGUGGCCGUGACUUAUCCCACCCCAUACUCCUGGGGUACACUCUCAUGGGGCAAGACAAGCAAGGGCAGGGGGCCGGGGGAGUGUAACUCCCAGCUUCCUCCCUUCUCCCGGCAGUGGGCGUGAUGGAUGGCCUCUGAGCGACCGGUGCCAUGUGGGGUGUGAUAUCCCCUUUUGUGAACGACGGGUUGCCAGCUGCAGUAACACACAUUUUCUCUACCAGCCCCAUCCCACUGUACCUCUCCAUGUUUUCGCUGCAACCCCUGCCUCCCCCUGCUCGGCCUGUAAUGGCUAAUUCAGCUCGGUAUCAGCAAGCGCUGCUGUUUCUUGAAUGCUUACUCUGUGCCAGGCGCUGCUGUCGGGACUCUGGCCAGAUCCGCUGACAUCUCUGUAACAUCUCAGGAAGGUAGCUAUUAU